UACAGAGGUCUCGAGCGUUAGGCGGAAUCACUGGGCUUAAAGCGUGUGUAGGCGGGUCGUUUAAGUGCCUUGUGAAAUCCCAUGGCUCAACCAUGGAACUGCUGGGCAUACUGGCGAUCUUGUGCCACCUAGGGGCGAGCGGAACAGAUGGGUGGAGCGGUGAAAUGCGUAGAUAUCAUCUGGAACGCCAAUGGUGAAAACAGCUCGCUGGGGGUGUGCAGACGCUGGAGACACGAAAGCCAGGGGAGCGAACGGG
rnacentral:rRNA from 1 species